UUGUAGACAUGUUUCUGUUAUAACCGACCAAAUUCUAAAACAUUACAUUAGCAUUACGAUGAACCAACAACACCAUUUAUGGGUGAAACUAUUUCAAAAUUAUUACAAUGUGGUUUAGUUUAUUAAUGCUCUGUUUCAUUUCAGAAUAUUCUGUUUCCAUGUGUCUAGGACUUGACGUCAACAAUGAAACAGACUAUUAUGGCAAAGAUGAUGAUAUUAUUCCUCCUCAAAAUUCACACUAUCCCAGGGACUAUUCAAGCUCCAAUGAAGACAUGGUACCUGCAGCCACAUUUUUACAUACGCCCGUUUUGGAUCUAAAAUGGCCAAACGCUACUGUACCGUAUGUUUUUCAUCAUAACAUGAGAGACUCGGACCGCAAACAGACCGUCAAAGCCAUGAAGGAGUUCCACAAACACAGUUGUAUAAAGUUUAUUGAGUGGACGGGAGAACCUGAUUAUAUUAGGUGAAUGUUCAUCCCACGUAGGUAGACAGGGAGGACCACAACCUCUGUACCUCAGUCCUCGGUGUGCUCGCAGUGUAGGGGUGGCCAUGCAUGAGAUGCUUCACACACUGGGCUUUACACAUGAACAUAUGCGGCCAGACAGGGACAAGUACGUGUACAUCAACUACUCCAACAUCGACUACGCUUAUUGGAAAAAUUUUGAAAUUGAUUCGAAUGUCAAAUUGGACGAUUUUGGAGCUUCGUAUGAUUUCAGCAGCCUAAUGCAUUACCGACUCUGUGCCAUGAGCAAUAAUUCUUUACCAACAAUCAUUGCUAAGAUCAAGCCUAGAACAAAACUCAUUGGACAAAGAAUUGGUUUCAGCGAGCAAGACAUAAUCAAACUCAACAGAUUUUAUAAUUGUUCCUUGAAAGCGAACAAUGCGAAGGUGGUACUGGCAGAAAGUGAAAGCAUUUUACAAACACAUGACUGUGAUAAAAACUGUGACUGCUCCUCUAGAGAUGGAUCGGAAUCCAACGCUUAUCCUCAUUCAUGUGUUUUGAAAAUUAUACUCAUAGUUUAUACAUAUAAACAAUUAUUUCCUUAUA